AUCUGGGCAGCAGAAUUCAGGAUGACGGCGCGCGUCUCGCAUGCCGCGUCGUCGUUUGAUAUUUCUGUUGCCGGCGCAGACGUCGCGACCCGUUCGUCGUCGGUCCCUGCUCGGAGGAGCCGCGUUCGAGCUCGUUGCGGGCGCGUUUCGGCGCGUUUCGCGGCGAAGGCGCGGUCAUCUGGCCGAUCGACGGACGGUAGGCUGCAUUGGUGUCCGGUGUCGUCGUUUCGUACGCGCGGCAUCCGGUACCGGUCGGCGACGAAUUCUUCGGGCCUCUUUCCGACCCGUCUUGAAACACGGACCAAGGAGUCUAACAUGCACGCGAGUCGCGGGGUGUCGAGCGUAUCGUGCGUGCGCUCGUUACGACGCGAAACCCGUUCACAUGUAAGGCGUAAUGAAAGUGAAGUGGGAAGAUGGUGAUCCGAGUACACGUUCCGCGAUCGUCGGUAUCGCGGCCGGACACCCGCAUUCCCGGGGCGUCUCAACGGCCCGUCGCGGUCGCGGACGGUCGUCUCUCGGGGCGGCCGUCGGUCCGCGACGAACCGA
rnacentral:rRNA from 1 species